rnacentral:rRNA from 1 species
AUUGAACGCUGGCGGCAGGCCUAACACAUGCAAGUCGAGCGGUCGACGGGAGCUUGCUCCCUGAUUCAGCGGCGGACGGGUGAGUAAUGCCUAGGAAUCUGCCUAUUAGUGGGGGACAACGUUUCGAAAGGAACGCUAAUACCGCAUACGUCCUACGGGAGAAAGCAGGGGACCUUCGGGCCUUGCGCUAAUAGAUGAGCCUAGGUCGGAUUAGCUUGUUGGUGAGGUAAUGGCUCACCAAGGCGACGAUCCGUAACUGGUCUGAGAGGAUGAUCAAUCACACUGGAACAGAGACACGGUCCAGACUCCUACGGGAGGCAGCAGUGGGGAAUAUUGGAAAAUGGGCGAAAGCCUGAUCCAGCCAUGCCGCGUGUGUGAAGAAGGUCUUCGGAUUGUAAAGCACUUUAAGUUGGGAGGAAGGGUUGUAGAUUAAUACUCUGCAAUUUUGACGUUACCGACGGAAUAAGCACCGGCUAACUCUGUGCCAGCCGCCGCGGUAACAC